UCCAAUUUGGGCGGGAAGUGGCCGAAAAAUCGAUCCAAAAAUUUUAAAUUUUUAAGUUUUAGAUUGAGUUUUAAAACUUCAAAAUCGAUCUAAUCCAACCAUACAGACAGCUAGAGCUUGUGGAGAGGAUUGAAAUCCAUACCUGGUUCGUCAAAAAUGGUGGUCGGAAUAGCCAAAUCCGAGCUCCCAGCCCCUCCUUGAGCAGCAUUAUGAUCGCCGACCCCUCACCAUCGAAUCCCAACCGGUCUUAGCUGCGGAGGUGGUCAAACGGUGGAGUUAUCCAGCCACACAGUGGCCGGGUCGGCGUGUGUCGCGAGGGAGAGGGUCAGGGAAGAGCGAGAGGAGAAAGAGACCUAGCUGCCUUUUUAAAAUUCUAACUUUGAAAUAUUUACGGUUGUGCCACUAACUUACGUCGUCCAUAACUUCUUCGUUAAAACUCUGAUUUGGGCCCACUAUGUUCUACGAACUCGUAUUGACGAACUAUAUGCAACUAUGCCACUUAAAUCCCAAAAAUUCUUACGGAUCGAAAAGUGACAAUCGUGACCUUACCCGAGGGUAAAGUUGUAAUUUCACAAUUAAAUAAAUUAAAUAUAGUAAAUAAAUAGUAAAAAUUGGGUCGAGGUGUCACAAAACAUGGAUCUAAGCAAACAAGGGAAGAAACACACACAUGAUGAAACAAGGAAGAGAGACAAUCGACACCACCCAAACAUGGCAUCGUCCAUCCCUAACCUCAAAGAUCCCUAAACAUUGGGGGGCCAUGGGAGCCCAUCCCUGGUUUGAGCAUUCUUUAUGGUUCAAUUGUCUCACUGCAAUUUACCCCCUAAAAAAAUAAUUGCCUCGUUGCAAAGAGGAGGAAGCGUAAAAAAAAAAAAAACAAUACAAACCACGUUAUAACAUUUGGGUUAAUAUGAGUUUUGGCAAGAAAAAAAAAAAGACUCAAAAUUUGAUGAUGUGUCGUGCGUUUAGAUUGUUUGAGUGGUUUAGAUUUAACGAAAUGUAGGUAAUGCACGAAAUCUAAAUGCAGAGGCUAGGGAUCCUUCUCACACACAUGCACAUACAACUCAAAUAUCAUGGGGGUUCGAAUUGAGACCUCUGGUUUGCAAGUCAAUGCCCUUUUUCACUAGGCUAGACUCUAUUGGCCAUAUUUUAUUUUUAAUCAGAGUACUUGCGGAAGACAAUAUUUGCCCGAAAAUACCUUUCAACUGACAUAGAAAGAAGCGAAUAGGUGGGACCCAAGCCUGCCACGUAGACAAUUAACAAAAAUUUUGAUGGUGAAGUUGCAAAAAAUUAAAAAUAUUAAGGUACAUGAUUGUUAAAAUUGAGAGUGCAGGGGCAAACAUGCCUAAAUGGUGAUAAUUUAGGGUACUAAAUUGAAAUUAACCCUUCAUUGAAUUUUAUAGGUAAAUUAAAUGUGAUUGAUAAUUUAAGGUGAAAUUAAUCAACACAUGGAGGACAUGGCUUUGUGCAUAUAUUUGAGAGGACGGUGCCUCUACUACUAUGGGGAAUGCUAGCAACCUCCUCUAUAACCUUCUCUUUUGGACCUUCUCCAUUCUCCUCAUGACAAGUGUUACUUUUCUUUCACUUAAA
rnacentral:lncRNA from 1 species